rnacentral:lncRNA from 1 species
UCCUUGAGAGACAAUGAUGUUUCUUUCUUUUCUAAUCAAAGAGUGGGCAUAAUCUUUGCCCCCUCCCUAUCCCUAUGAUUCUGCCAUUAAAGUUACGACACAAUUGAUCAAAUAAUAUCCGUGCACAAACUUUGUCGUUUAAAACUAUGAAAAAGAAUGUGUUCUUUUUUCCUUGGAACUUUUUAUGUUAUUCAGUGUACAUUGUGAAAUAAAAUUGAGAAUGGAAAUGGGGAAUGUGCCAAAGAGAC